rnacentral:lncRNA from 1 species
CACCAAUUUGAUUUAUAGUUCUUUGGACAAAAGCUCCAAAAAAUAUGGGGCGAGCGAGCGAAAUUUUUUUGAUUGUAAAAAAUUCUUGUAAAUGAGUUUGGUUGAGGCGGGUGCUCUACAAGUGGAGCGAGCGGUAUAUAUUUUUUUUAAAUUGUGCAAUUUAGAAAUUUGUGUACAUGUUAAAACAGGAUAACUUCAAAGAAAAGGGAGGUGAAACAUGCUCUUAUGCAUAUAAUUUGAUGUAUUUGUGCCUGUAGUACAGUCUGUACCAUACCCAACUUUCU